GUAAAAAUACGCAAAAUGGUAUACCUCGGUUAUUAAAAAAGUCUAAUCAACUUUCCGAGAUUACUUGAAUUUGAGCUUAGUCCAAGGAGAGCGGUCUUGGACGGAUACUUUGUCGAUAUUCGUGAGGGUAUUGACAGGAGAUAAGUGAGUAAGUGUAUCUUCUUAUCGCUAUAAAGAGCACCGAACUUGUCGCAGCAAUAAAUAGACGCUCCUUUUGAGGAGAAGAACCUGAAUGUCUUAUUAGGCGUGGUUGUUUAAAGAGAAACGCAGGAAUACCAAUAAUGCUGUUCGUGGUUGAUGUUUGGAAACAAACUAUAAGACGAGAAGCGGGUACAAGUAGCCUAUCCCGAGCUCUUUUUAACCAACGUAAAAUUGGGAAAAAUGAGGCAAUUCUGAAAGAUUGGUGAAAGUUGGAGGAAACUAAUCCUCCGUAAGGUCCGCCCCUGGCGGGGUUGGACAAGAAGCUAAGGGUCGCUCCCGAAAGCUCAGACUUGUCUGCUUACUGGCUGAAUAUUAUAGAAGAUUUGAAGGAGAAGACGAAGGUCUAUACCACUUUUAUUAUUUAA
rnacentral:ncRNA from 1 species